rnacentral:rRNA from 1 species
UGGGGAAUAUUGGACAAUGGGCGCAAGCCUGAUCCAGCCAUGCCGCGUGUGUGAAGAAGGCCUUUUGGUUGUAAAGCACUUUAAGCGAGGAGGAGGCUACUUGGAUUAAUACUCUAGGAUAGUGGACGUUACUCGCAGAAUAAGCACCGGCUAACUCUGUGCCAGCAGCCGCGGUAAUACAGAGGGUGCGAGCGUUAAUCGGAUUUACUGGGCGUAAAGCGUGCGUAGGCGGCUUCUUAAGUCGGAUGUGAAAUCCCUGAGCUUAACUUAGGAAGUGCAUUCGAUACUGGGAAGCUAGAGUAUGGGAGAGGAUGGUAGAAUUCCAGGUGUAGCGGUGGAAUGCGUAGAGAUCUGGAGGAAUACCGAUGGCGAAGGCAGCCAUCUGGCCUAAUACUGACGCUGAGGUACGAAAGCAUGGGGAGCAAACAGG